UACGGAGGUGGCAAGCGUUGUUCGGAGUUACUGGGCGUAAAGGGUGUGUAGGCGGUUAUUUAAGUUUGGGGUGAAAUCUCCCGGCUCAACCGGGAGGGUGCGCCGAAUACUGAAUGACUUGGAGUGCGGGAGAGGAAAGUGGAAUUCCUGGUGUAGCGGUGAAAUGCGUAGAUAUCAGGAGGAACACCGGUGGUGUAGACGGCUUUCUGGACCGUAACUGACGCUGAGACACGAAAGCGUGGGUAGCAAACAGG
rnacentral:rRNA from 1 species